AGUCACUAUCUCGUUAAUUUAUCAAAUAUGCGGAUCUUUUACCCGGAUUUGGUAGUUAUUUCGCAGAGCGAUUUAUAAACACGUCCGUUCACUUGAAAAGUAUGGAUGACUGGUCUGUCAUUAAAGUAGAAGAACCUCAGCAGAAUAGCUCCGCCGUAUUACUGCUGAUUAACAACGAGUCGCUGGAGGCACUCGGAAAUCAGCAGUUCAAACUUCGCUUUGGCCAAAGUGAAGAUCUUCCCCGCCUCUGUUGCCCUGGACUAAGACUUGGAGAAAUUGAGGGAUGACACCAAGAAACUGCUCGACGUUCUGCGGUUAUCUGGGAUGGAUGCAGAUUCUGUACAGGGGGAGCAGUCGUAAAGCCACCGAUAACCUACGAGUCACCCUACGUGAGGAGGACAUCGAUGUCUGCCUGAUACAGGAGCCUUAGAUCUGCCAGUAAAAAAUCAUGGGGCUGCUGGACAGAUCCUAUGACCUUUUUUGUGUCCAAACUGAUGUUCACCGGAUGCGACUAUGGUCAGGGUGGAACCAUCCAGUGGCAGUUGCUUCUGCUUGGUGUCUGCCUACAUGGCCCAUGACAGAUCGGCGCCUCCAGAGGAGUUGCAACAUUUAGUGGAUACUCUCCAGCCCAAGAAAGAGAACAUCCUGAUUGGAUGCUACGCGAAUGCCAGACACACAAUUUGGGGCAGCAGCGAGAUCAAUGAACGGGGUGAGUCUCUAUUUGACUCUAUACUAAGCCGUAAUUUAUUUAUCUGGAACAAGGGCACCUCCCCAACUUUUGUUUUCCUGGCAUCGGAAACAUCAAGAGGUUGAGAGGAAGUUCUUAUUACCUUUCUUUCGACAAACUCAUCUGCUGUUAGGGUUGAAAAUUGGACGCUCUCCCGGAGGAACUCUUUUUCGGACCACAGGAUGAUCCUCUUCGAAAUCAAUUUGAUUCGGGAGACCUUGCUACCCCGUAGAAACCCUAAACGAACUGACUGGUCUCUUUUCCACAGGGUUUUCUGCAAGAACCUGAACAACAGUAAGUUUUUGACUACCACUAGGGAACAUCUGGAUAUGCAAGUUAGACAUUUGAGAGGUCCUAUCAGACUGCCUUCAAAGGGGCCUGUCCAGUAUCCUUUAGCAAGACUUUCCUCACUGGUGGAGCAAGACGCUGAUCGAUUUGAAAGAGAAGGUUAGGAGAGUCUUCAACAAAUGUCACCAUACAAGGAACUUUCAAGAUUACCGGGGAAUUUUGAAAGAGUAUAAGAAAGCCAUUAGAGAUGCGAUGGAGAAUCAUCGAAUCCGUGAAAGACCCAGACAGACUCAGCAGGAUCCUAUCCAAGGACCACUCCUGUAAAACUCUUGUCGAAAGAGAGAAAGGGGAGUGGGCUCAAUCUGCAGGCGAAUCCUUAAAAAUCCAUAUUGGUGCCCAUUUCCCGCAAACUCUAUUUCUCCAGUCUGUAACGAAGACGCGAACCGGCAAGAGGGGUUACCUGCGAUGUCCCUGACACCUGUCCUGUCCAUCAACAGAAUAAAUUGGGCAAUCGAGAGCUUUUUCCCUUUCAAAUCUCCAGGUAUCGAUGGUAUCAUGCCAGUAAUGCUUCAGAAGACUAAAACCGUGGUGGUUCCCAUUCUUCAAAAGAUCUUCUUGGCGUGCAUCUCGCUAAACCACGUUCCUGCUAGCUGGAAGAAAACCAAAGUGGUCUUCACUCCUCAAUAUAUUCAAUUCAAUAUAUUGUUUAUAAGCCAUCAAAAGCAUUUGCGUCUCAGUUUUGUUGAUUUCUAGUGUGAUUGGGAAAAUGACAACCAGCCAUUGUUCGUGAGCUCGGUGACCUCAAAGUAAAUAAAAUGUUUUUGUAUCGCACUAUAGAACGUUAUAAUGAUACUAGUAGCAUAGCAAAACGCUAUGGAGGUGGACCAAAAAUAACCGCAACAACGCUAGAAAUGGUUCGGAAAGUGAAGGCUCGACUGGAACGAAAUCCACGUCGAAGUGGAAGAAAAAUGGCCAAAGAACUCAAAAUAUCGCAAGACAGCAUCUGACGCAUAUUGAAAAUUGAGCUCAAGGUCAAGGCUAACAAGUUCCAAAAAGCACCCGAUCUUUCACCCCAGCAAAGGAGUUGUCGCGCUUGCACGAACGUGGCGAAUUUCCUAACAUUGUGUUUUCUGAUGAAAAAAGCUAAUAUACGAGAAUCGGCCAAAAUACCUCAACAUCACAUUCGUGCAG